rnacentral:hammerhead_ribozyme from 1 species
AUCCGGUUGACGAGUCCUAAAUAGAACGAAACACGCGUCCUGGAU